CCCAAGUUGUGAUCCCCCCGCCCCGCCCCUCCCCUCCCCUCCAAAAGGUGAUUUUAGUAAUUACCAAGUAUAAGUUAUUGUCCAGCAGUAUCUCGACCCAAUAUUAGGCAUCUUGCCCGGUGGAAAAGCUACAUCUAGUUCCGAACCAGCGAUUUGGUUGAUAUCCAGUGUUGUUUUUCAAGCGUGGAAGUCACCUAAUUAGAAGUUGUCAAAAUUUUAUAGCGAUCAGAGCUAACCACAAGGUAUUCUUUUCUCUCAGAUUUGCAAUUACAUAUGAAUUUGUUUAAAUUGUAAUGAUCCUCUCAUUUUUAGGAAGUAAGGGUAAAAUUGAAAUUACAUUUUCGAAUUUAGUGGUUUCAACGAGACCCUGCUGUCUACUAGCCAUCAAUUCUUCUGGGCAUAUCCCCUUGUACUCAAAUCUUGUGAGUGAUCCACAUUUUAUACGGGUAUACUUUGUUUAAGAUACAAUUUAACUGCAAAUUUUACUUAUGUAUCAAGUUCGGAGUUCGGUGCAUUUAAUAGUUUUAAUUUAGUGUCUACUAUCUACCUUAUGUGAUUCUGAUAUGUAUGUAUGAUACUUGCACAAAAUUUUCUUCAAAUUUGGUAUUCUAUCUUGAUGAGCUUUUGCCUAUGCAAGUUACAAGUAUCAUUGUUUUACGCAAAUUAAGCUAUUAAUACUUUCUAAUCGAUAGCUUCAGGAUCACAAAUCUCUUAGAUUUUAGUACCUUCAAAAGGAAACUUUUUCUCUGGGGUUAAGCAUCAAUCUCAUGAUUAAUUACGUCCAAAUAUAUGAGAUUGGUCACCAUUUGCAAACAUUACCUAAUAUAAUCCUUAACUUCUUUUAUUUGUACAAGUCGUUUAAGUCGACUGGAAUUAAAAUUUUGAAGGAUUGAACAAAUCUACAAGUUUCAAGCUCGACCUCUCAAAUCCGUAUCUUACAGAUCUAGAGGAAAAAGUCUAUGUUUCUCCACCACAUCUUAUCUCAUUUUCAAGCAGUUCAACACAUGCCUCUGAUUUACAUAUCCAUAUGUUAGGGUUUACAUCUGAUAAGUGCAGUUUAAUUCAGUUAUUUGUGGUUGUAGUUGUUUAGGUUUCUAGUGCCUAUGUUAUUUAUAUAUAUUCUAGAAAUUGUUGUAGGUGUAUUACUUUUUGCAGUUGAAAGGAUGGAGAUGACGAAGUGUGUGUGUGUGUGUGUGUUUUAUUAUUUUUUUCUUUUUGCAAUCGAAGCCAUGUAAUUGCUACGUCAUUAUGUGACUUUUAAAUCACUGCCGUGUCAGUCGCCUGACAUGUUGGUUUGGGCAUUGAAAAUUCAACUGACUCUUGACCGGUUUGUGCAAAUUAAAGAAGUCGGUGACUGGACUGAGUCAUAUUUGUGAAAAGUGAUGAAAUUGGUAGAAUCGUAUGAAAUGAAUACCAGAUAACUCAGGGUAUUAUUAUGGGUAGGGGGUGUGAUUAUUGAUUGCCAUGACCAUUAUUCAUGAGGGAGGAGAUAUGAGUCUUGCCACUAGGCAAUCAACAAAACCUUGAAUAUGCAAUUUUUUUAGUCCAACUAAUUUCAAAAACCCAGUCAUGUUAUAUGCUGAUAUCAUUACUCUCUCAACCUUCAGUGCGGUGAUUGUUGCUUGAAAUUCACUUGGUUUCUUUAAUUGACUUGUACUCUGCUAUGUUAUGUUCUGUAAUAAUUUAUAAUUUUACUUAAAGAUACAGCUUCAACUGCAGAACUAAUUAUGACAUUAUAGUAUUAGCAACAAGCCUUUUGUUUGAUUGGCAGUUAUUUGGGGUAAGUGCAUGAUUAGGUUGCCAUGUCUUGUUACAGGUUAUUAGGGUACUUAAGAUGGAUCCUGAAAUAAAUCUGCAAGAUCUUCACCCAAAAAAGAGAUGGAGGAGUGAGUUGUAUGCUCAAUUUGUUCUUGCCUGGCAGAACAAUAAUCAGUUACCUGCUGAAGGCACUCCAGAAAAAAAUGUUAAUAGCUUGGAUGACAAUCAUCAGCUGGCUGUUUAUACUCCUGCUGACGCUUCUGCUUCUGAUGGAACUGUUACUCAACCUCCACAGAACCAGGCCGGUCGGAUUGCGCCAUCUGUGGAAGCUUACACUGUCCAGUGUUCACUCUGUUAUAAGUGGAGGCUUAUUCCUUCGAAGGAGAAAUUCGAGGAAAUCCGUGAACACUUAAUAGAGCAGCCUUUUGUAUGCAGAGCACUUUAUCAGUGGCGUCCUCAGAUAUCUUGCACUGUUAAAACUGAUCUUCAACCAGAUGGUAGCAAGUUAUGGGCAAUUGAAACGCCCAACAUUCCUCGACCCCCUCCUAGGUGGAAGCGCAUUUUGAAGAUCAGGGCUUCCCAAGGAACCAGAUUUGCAGAUGUGUACGUAUUACUCUACAUUUUUUUUUUAAAUAUGGUUUAGUCUUAAUAUCUGCUGCUUCGUUUCAGUUUAAAAGUUGAGCUUUUCUUUACUUUCAGGUAUUAUUAUACACCAUCGAACAAGAGACUGCGGUCCACAACUGAAGUUCAAAGGUACUCUUGUCUCUUAGGUUUGUUUUCAGUUGAGCAGAGCGUUCAAAAACUUGCAAAUCUUUAUGUUUGGUUUAAAUGAUAAUAUUGAUGAAGUGGUCCAAAAAUUAUAGAGUAAAGUGACAUAAGGUCCUUCUACCAUAAAACAUGGCCGGCGCACCAACUUGACCUCUUCUCUGUAGUGUUUUCGAUAUUUUUCAAACAUUAUUUAGAUUCUGUUUGUAUUUGGGCAUAUUUUUAAGAAUGUAAAUGUUUGCUCUAUAUUAACCUAUCGUCAUGCAAAUUUCGCAAACUAUUGUUAUGCCAAUGGGCGCUCAGAUAUAGAUGGUUUGCUUCCCUUCAUGUUAUAGUACAAUAUGUUUAAACAGUUGAACAACGUUGUGUUCUUGGCUUGAGUCCAGCACUGACAGUGCCUAUUUGCAAUAUUCCAUAUGGGAUUACCAUUCACAGGUAUUUGCGUGAACAUCCCAAUGAGGCGGAUGGAGUUGACUUGGGCCAAUUUUCUUUUAAAAUCCCACUGUUGGUGAAGGAGAAGUCCUUGGAAGAACAUACCACCCGUGUUUUACAAGACGGUCGCAAACGCCGCAGGAUGCCUUGAAAUGGAGGAAGAAAGGAGUGAUCUGUAUCCAAUCUGGAUAUGAAUAUUGAAAUGGGCUACAUAGAGUUGGUACUUUAGUCGUGUGACAUUUGAGUGAUUGUUGAAGACUUGGCAACUGCUUUUGAUGUAAUGACAUGUAAACUGUUAGUCUCCUUGUGAAUUCAAGAGUAGAGCCAUUUUCAUUUUAUCCAAUCGACUUUCUAGUUAGUAAUUACUAUAAUUUUGUAUAAUAGAAUAUACAGAUAUAAAACCAUUUCUUUACAUAAAAUGCUAUGGGCGUCAUGUGUUUUGUGAGAGGAGUUGUUGGGGCUUGUUUCAUAUUUACCAUGACAUUUCAGCCCAAUUUUAAGAGACUUUAUUGGUGGGUUUGGUUUAACAAAUGAUGAGUAUCAGUAUUGGUUUGCUCCCUUGUGUAUUAGACCAUAUAUAUGGUGCAUUUUGCAUAGGUCAAAAGUCAAGUUUAGCUUUUUUCUCAAAAGGCUGGCUGGCAUGAAGCUUGAUCUUAGUGAAAGUAUGAUCAAGCAGCUUACCCUUCUCGGAAUUGGCCACCAUAAUUGGUUCUACCCAAUUGGAAAACUGUUUGGGAACCCAAGGCAGCUUGUUCAAGAGAAGGGGUUUCCAGAACUCCUCGUGAUUGGUGCUUUUUAGAUCAUUACCUCCUGGAAGUCAGAGUGCGGAUACAUUUCUAGCACUGAAAGACGUGGGACGACAUCAUAUUGCAGGUAUACUACUAAUGCUGGAAAUUGUUAUUGGUUUUUUUUUCUUGCAGUACUAUUAAUACUUGUAGUUUAGCCGUAGUAAGUUAUCUUGUUCUAAAGGAUCAGCACAAGGGAAAAUUUCUGGUCUAACAAACAUAUCAUCACAUCCUAGUUGCAUCAUUAACGCAGCAUCUGUUGGAGUCACAAUGCCUCCAGUAGCAGCAUGCACAACAGGAAACCUUCCCCAUUUGCCUAGUCUGGGCUUACUAUGCAUUAGAAUCUCCAAUUUCCUUGAAAAGUGUGAAAAACUUUAUCUUCAUCCAUAUCGAUAAAAAUUAAAACCUAUGUUACUUGAACUCAUCUCCGUCCUAUUUUUGGACAUGGGCAUCGGGAAUGGUAACGAUGCACUAAUAAACAAGUAGGGUAAAAAUUAUUCAUUAAAAUCAUAUAACCAAAAAACUCACAUCUAACAUGUAUUAUGAGAGACUUUGCGAUUUAGGUGUUUUAAGGUUUUCUCAUCCCAUCUUCUCAUCCUUCUCUUUUGCAUCCUAAUUAGCACUUAGCAGCAAUGUCGAUGCUGUUGUUUUAUGCAGUUAUGGAUUAAAGUGUGAUAAUUUUUGUAAAUACAAGCCUGAUUAUUUCCCUAUUAUAUGUGAAGUUAUUAUAACAAAUGCUUUCAAAUUAAAAACCAUAUAGUUUUCUGGUUAAAAAAUGAUUUACAUUUAUAAAUAUAUCAUCUGAGCCUAGAGAACAGAGGGAAGUUAUUUUUAUUAUAGGUUAAAGUGACUAGUGUUCACCAAAUCUGGUAGAUGAAGAAUGAAAAUAUAGACUUUGCAGACUUGUAAUCUAGUACAAUUGAUGGAAUUGUGAUACUUUCGAUGAAUUUACACUUGUUAAUCAGGAUUAGUCUGUCAUGUGUAUGUCAGUAUGUGGCUGUUUAGGUUUGCUUAUUUGGAAAAGACAAGCACAAUUCUCCCGCAUAAAAAGUACCUAGUUGUGUUGUGUACAUGUGCCUGUUAGGUUUAGCUUAAUUUGAUAAAAUUUGCACUUGUCUUUUAUCAAAUUAAUAUAUUUUUGACUAUUUUUUUUUACUCCAAAUUCAUUUGUUUUGAUAAAUAAAUUUUAUAAUGGAGUAUCAAUCAUCAGGUGUAGAAUAUCUUAUUGGUAUCAUAGUAUGUAAGCAAUUAAAAAGUGCUUCUACUUAUUUACACAAACGGUUCAAGAAAAGCAGAAGCCAGAAGCAACUCCGACUUCUGCUAACCAAACAGGCACAUAGUAAAGUUCUGUUAAGACCACUUUUUAUCGGAGACCUCGGAGAACAUGCAUGUUUUGCAAAUAAAACAUUGCAAAACUUAUAAUUUUGCAAAUCAUAUUCAAUGAAAAUCAUUUUUUAAUUAAAAAUCUUGAAAAAUCAUACUCCUUCAGUUCCACCCAAAUGAUUAUAUUUGGGUGGGGCAUAGAGAUUAAGAAAAUAUGUAAAGUAAGAGUAUGAAAGAAAGAAAAGUGAGGAUAGUGAUGAAACCAUUUGAUAUUUAAUACAUAAAGUAAGGAUAGUGGUGAAAAGUAGUGGGGGUAGUUGAUUUUUAUAUUAUAAAAUUUUACUAUACUUAAUAAAUUUUGAAAUAUAGAAUGGAUGGGACAUCCCAAAAAGGAAAGUGUAAAUAAAUGGUUGAGACGGAGGGAGUAUAUGUAUUGCGAGGAAGACAUUGCAAGACUGGACAUUGCAAAACAUAGGUUGUGCAAAAGAAUGUCUGGCUUGCAAAACGUACAUUAUUUUUUGGAUUUUCAAUGAAAUAGCACUAUUCAAAUAACAUACUUUAUAAAAUAUAAUGUUGUUAAUGUUUUGGUGCAGAACAUGCAUCGUUUCCGAGGAUUCUGAUAAAAAGUGAUUUUGGAGGUCUCCGAUAAAAAGUGGUCUUCAUAGAACUUUACUCUCUAUAUCACAAACCUCCUUAAAAUACAAUAUAAAAACUAAAAAAAAUCUUAAAAUUAUAUUUAAAUAUAGCAAAAAUUGUAUUUAAAUCGUUAGGAGAUGUAGAAUAAUUAUAGUGAAGUCAGAUUGACAUGAAAAUUCAAAUUAAAAAUGGAGGGGAUUAUGUGGGAUCAUGUGUGGGAGGAUGAAUUUUAAUUGUGUGUGGUGACUUCUAGAAGGCUUGUAGUUUGUACAGUAAUUUGGUUAACUACACAACUAAAAACCUUCUUAAAAUAAAAACUAAAAUAAAAAAAAUUCUGAAUCACAUCGAAAUAGCACAUAUGAUAUGCAACUGAAAGUUGGGAGAUGAAUAAAAAUACCAUUAAGUCAGAUUUCUAAAAAACUCACCGUUGACGAGAAAAAUCAAAAUAGAAACGGAUGAGAUUAUGUGGGUUAUGUGUGGGAGAGCGUAUUUUAAUUGUGUGGAGCGUAUUUUAAUUGUGUGGUGACUUCUAGGGGCCAUUAGAUUAGAUUCGUCCAAGGGCUUGGAUUAAAUUUAUUUAAAGGCUUAGAAUAAGUUUGUACAAUAAUUUGGUUUGUAUUUGAGCAAUUGCUUAUAUAUAUAUAUUUGGUUUUUAAUGUUCUUGGUCACCAAGAGGACUGAAAUUCAGAAAGAAAAAAAAAACGAACUGGGCCUGAAUUGUGAAAGCCCUGAACCAGGACCGAAAUUUGGGUUCGCUUCUCGGUGAAUUGGGAAAUUCUAAUAUGGUCAAUUGAUGGAAUGAUUAUUCUUCUGUUUCCGAACAGGAUUUUUUUAUCGAUACAACCCUUCUGUUUCAACAACUCCCCAAGUUGUGAUCCCCCCGCCCCGCCCCUCCCCUCCCCUCCAAAAGGUGAUUUUAGUAAUUACCAAGUAUAAGUUAUUGUCCAGCAGUAUCUCGACCCAAUAUUAGGCAUCUUGCCCGGUGGAAAAGCUACAUCUAGUUCCGAACCAGCGAUUUGGUUGAUAUCCAGUGUUGUUUUUCAAGCGUGGAAGUCACCUAAUUAGAAGUUGUCAAAAUUUUAUAGCGAUCAGAGCUAACCACAAGGUAUUCUUUUCUCUCAGAUUUGCAAUUACAUAUGAAUUUGUUUAAAUUGUAAUGAUCCUCUCAUUUUUAG
rnacentral:lncRNA from 1 species